CAGUCGCCACGGGAAUACGAAGGGGGCUAGCGUUGCUCGGAAUGACUGGGCGUAAAGGGCGCGUAGGCGGUUCGUACAGUUGGAUGUGAAAUUCCUGGGCUUAACCUGUGGGCUGCAUUCAAUACGUGCGGGCUUGAGUGUGGAAGAGGGUUGUGGAAUUCCCAGUGUAGAGGUGAAAUUCGUAGAUAUUGGGAAGAACACCGGUGGCGAAGGCGGCAACCUGGUCCAUAACUGACGCUGAGGCGCGAAAGCGUGGGGAGCAAACAGGAUUAGAUACCCCUGUAGUCCCUGUCUCUUAUAC
rnacentral:rRNA from 1 species